AUAGUUCAUAGUGAUGUUAUUCCAGAGCUACUGUCUUGUUUGACGUGUUUUAUAGCACAUUUUACAGCUAAUUUUUUCCCCCCCACUUUGAAUUUUGGUCAACUUAAAGACGGAAUGACUCAGAUAAAAGUCAUUUUAUUUAAUAUAUAUAUUAUUAUUAUGCUUAAGGCUGCACAGUGGUGCAGUUGGUAGAGCUUUUGCCUUGCAGCAAGAAGGUUCUGGGUUUGAUUACCGGCCCUGGGUCUGUCUGCAUGGAUGGAUUAUUAUAUUUAAAUAUAUAUAUUUUUGAGCUAUGUCGCUGAGCCUUACUAUGACGGAAAAGGAAACAAAUUCAAGUGAAUUUGUAUUCAGUACUCCUGAGACCAUAUUUUGUAGAACCACAUUUGGCAACAGUUAAAGCCGUAAGCCUGCCGACCUUUCACACCAGGUGACAGAAAAAUCCGACCACUCUUCUUUGCAAAACACCUCAAAUUCCAUCAGACUGGACAAAGAACAGCUGUGAAUAAUAUUAUUAAACACCUCAUCUUAGACUAAUCAAUCCUGACUAAUUAAAAUUAUUUAAUCCAAACAAUUUCAUAAUAAUAACAACCCUGGCUGUAUAUUUAGGCUCACUGUCCUGCUGAAAGGUCAGCCCGUUUAGGUCCUGACUCGGCCUCUGAAAUUUUUACUUCCAAAUUGGUCAUGUACGUCUCCAUGUAAUAUUUAGUUGGUGGACAAAGAUGUUUGGUCUAAUCUGGAAUUAUGGUUUUCUUUAAACAAUUGCCGUCUUCCUACCGCUCGUCCAAAAUAGCCAGAUUUGUAGAAUGCAGACAUUUUGUCUGUGGAAGUCUGCGUCUCGUUCAGAGUCACUACAGGUUUCUGGAACACUGUCCUGUAAUGAUCAAUGUCUUAGUAGAUUUGUAGUCGUGCCAAAGUCUUCAAACCGUUCAAUGGUUUCUCUUAUAAACUAACUCUGCUCUUCUCCUAAAUGCACAACUCUUCAUUAACAUUAUCUGGCAUAUGAAGACCUGCUCAGGUCUUCAUAUGACGUAAGAUCCCAAUAAAUGCAUUGGAGUUUAUCCUCGUUGCAUGAGAGAAUGUGAAGUUCAACGCAGAUGAAAACAUUUGUGAGGCACUGUAUGCAGACGUUAUGAGCCUCUCCCGUCCCAAAUUUUUCUUCCAGGCAUCAGCUUGUGGUUUGGUGGGUUGCCAUACGUGGAGAGCAAACGCAGUGGGGACAAGGUCUAAAAAAGGCUGCAGGGGGAGAUGAUGCGUGAUGGCACAAAAAUCACAAGUUUCCAAAGAGAGAGAAG